CUACGGGGCGCACCAGUAAGGAAUAUUGCGCAAUGGAGGCAACUCUGACGCAGCCAUGCCGCGUGCAGGAAGAAGGCCUUAUGGGUCGUAAACUGCUUUUAUUUAGGAAUAAACCCCCGAACGUGUUCGGGGCUGAAGGUACUAAACGAAUAAGCACCGGCUAACUCCGGCCAGCAGCCGCGGUAAUACGGAGGGUGCAAGCGUUAUCCGGAUUUAUUGGGUUGAAAGGGUGCGCAGGCGGGCUAUUAAGUCAGUGGUGAAAUCCCGGGGCUCAACUCCGGAACUGCCAUUGAUACUGAUAGUCUUGAGUUUGGUUGAAGUGGGCGGAAUGUAGCAUGUAGCGGUGAAAUGCAUAGAUAUGCUACAGAACACCAAUCGCGAAGGCAGCUCACUAAGCCAAAACUGACGCUCAUGCACGAAAGCGUGGGGAUCAAACAGGAUUAGAUACCCCAGUAGUC
rnacentral:rRNA from 1 species